rnacentral:rRNA from 1 species
GACAGAGGGUGCAAACGUUGUUCGGAAUUACUGGGCGUAAAGCGCGUGUAGGCGGCUAAGUAAGUCGGGCGUGAAAUCCCACGGCUCAACCGUGGAAGUGCACUCGAAACUGCAUAGCUAGAGUCCUGGAGAGGAAGGUGGAAUGCUUGGUGUAGAGGUGAAAUUCGUAGAUAUCAAGCGGAACACCGGUGGCGAAGGCGGCUCACUGGCCCGAUACUGACGCUGAGACGCGAAAGCGUGGGGAGCAAACAGG